rnacentral:lncRNA from 1 species
AGUAGUUGACCCCCACACUAAGGGUCUCUCAAAUCCAUAAGACACUGGAGCAAUCUUUCAGAGGUGUUUUGAAUUAUUUACACAAGCUUUGAUGCUAGUUUUNNNNNNNNNNNNNNNNNNNNNNNNNNNNNNNNNNNAUCCUGAUGUGUUUGUUGUCUGCACCACAGAAAAUUGUUUAUCACUAAAUCAACAAUGUGACUUAAUAAGAGAGUAUGCAAAUAACAAGGAUCAACUAUCAUAACUUUCUGCAAGUUUCAAAAUUUACAGUAUCAUUGAUUCAACCAUUAUAAUUUUGAUAAGCUAGGCGUGUAGAAUUGAUUCAACCAUUAUAAUUAAAGACUUUUUUUCUUUGAAAACACUAACGUUUUCUUUUGGAUAAAGCACUCAUUAACAUUAGCAAACUCAAGCUGCAACAAAAGAGAAAUUAAAAUAAAAUCUACAUCAACGCAUCCAGACACACGUAACAUAACACCAUUUUAAAACUUUCGAUAAAAUGGACAAUCAAAAUCAACAGCAGCAAAAUGAUCAAUGAGAUUUCACAGCUACUUUUCUAAACCCUAAAAUGACAUUCAGAUAGGUUUUUUUAUUCCUUCUAAACAUUGGAAUUCAAAAGGAAUUACUGAAUUAAAAACAUGAAACAUAAUUUUGAUGAUGUAACUACACAUACUUCAAUUUACUAAACUAGGCGCAUAUACUGUGAUACUAUCAAAUACAGUUGCGAUCACAUUUAUAAGAAAGAGGUAAGGUGUCGAAUACUCACUCAAAGGUCGGUGGUGGCGGCGAACUCAGGUUACAGCGGCAACACGAUGGUGGUUCGGCGUGAAAACUCGUGUGAUUUUGGUGAGAGCAUGUGAUGCGAUCUCCCCUUUACCAAGCCAAUGAAACUAAGAAGAGAGAAGAAGACCAAUUUCCCAAACUUNN